rnacentral:misc_RNA from 1 species
UUAGUUAUUGAAUUUCUCCUCAGACGGCACUGAUGACGAGUUUAAAAGGGCCUCCGGCGGGCUCACGCGGGGCCCGAGGGAUGACCCUCGGGCAUCGCGGCGCGAACGACGGCCCGCCGAAGCAACAAUGGUAGGUACGCACGGGGUGAAGAGUCGGGGCCGAAGCCCCGGGGGACGCGGGGUUCCACUCUCGUUAAUGAUCCUUCCGCAGGUUCACCUACGGAAA